CUACGGGAGGCAGCAGUGGGGAAUAUUGCACAAUGGGCGCAAGCCUGAUGCGGCCAUGCCGCGUGAGUGAAGAAGUAUUUCGGUAUGUAAAGCUCUAUCAGCAGGGAAGAAGAUGACGGUACCUGAGUAAGAAGCCCCGGCUAACUACGUGCCAGCAGCCGCGGUAAU
rnacentral:rRNA from 1 species